UGGGAGGGGCUGAGCCAUGGGGCUGUCACGCCAGGCUCACCAAGCUCACCCCUGUCUCUGCAGGGCCCCCCCGGACUUGUGGAUGGGGCAGUGCCCCGAGGGGAGCCAGGCCCCCCGGUGAGUCCGGCCCCUGGGCCAGCGAAGGGGAGCGGGGCCGCGGGCAGCCGGGUGCCCCCAGGGGCUGAGCUGUCCCCUCGCUGCUCUCUUGUAGGGUCUGCCUGGGGACCCCGGCCCGCGGGGGCCUGCUGGCACCCCUGGACCCAAGGGCGAGAAGGUAAGGGGGUGGUGGGCCCCCCCCCCGGCUCUGCGGCGGGGACACACGUCCCCAUCUCACGGUGUGCUGCCGGCUUUCCUGCCCCCCAGGGUGACGGUGAGGACGGUUUGCCAGGGCCACCCGGCCGCCCAGGGGACCCAGGGGACCGGGUGAGUGUCCCAGGACAAAGGAAGGUGGGAGGUGACAUCCUCCCCCCACGGGAGGUGACAUCUUCUCUGCCCUCCUCUGCAGGGCCCGCGGGGACUGCCCGGGGAGCAGGGCAGGAAGGGAGACCGCGGGGCGCCAGGCGAGCUGGGAGAGACGGGCGAGAAGGGGGACCGUGGCGCACCGGGUCCUGAGGGCGAGAAGGGCGAAGUGGGAGCCCCAGGACGGCCGGGGCCAUCGGGCAGAGAG
rnacentral:lncRNA from 1 species